rnacentral:rRNA from 1 species
CAGUCGCCGCGGGAAUACGAAGGGUGCAAGCGUUACUCGGAAUUACUGGGCGUAAAGCGUGCGUAGGCGGCUUUUUAAGUCGGAUGUGAAAUCCCUGAGCUUAACUUAGGAAUUGCAUUCGAUACUGGGAAGUUAGAGUAUGGGAGAGGAUGGUAGAAUUCCAGGUGUAGCGGUGAAAUGCGUAGAGAUCUGGAGGAAUACCGAUGGCGAAGGCAGCCAUCUGGCCUAAUACUGACGCUGAGGUACGAAAGCAUGGGGAGCAAACAGGAUUAGAUACCCCGGUAGUCCCUGUCUCUUAUAU